rnacentral:siRNA from 1 species
GCAAGUAUAUAACUGGGACCGU